GACGUACCACCCAAACGUUAUUCGGAAUCACUGGGCUUACAGAGUCCGUAGGCGGCUCGGAAAGUUGGGCGUGAAAUACCUCAGCUCAACUGAGGAAUUGCGCUCAAAACUACCGAGCUGGAGAGAGACAGAGGUGAGCGGAACUGAUGGUGGAGCGGUGAAAUGCGUUGAUAUCAUCAGGAACACCGGUGGCGAAGGCGGCUCACUGGGUCUUUCUGACGCUGAGGGACGAAAGCUAGGGUAGCGAACGGGA
rnacentral:rRNA from 1 species